AGUGAAAGGAACCGACAAUUCUAUUCAUGAAGGGACCGAUGACAUUUCAUUCGUUCCUACCUCAUUAUAAUUUAUAAUCUCUUUAUCAUUUUCUGGUCAUGCAAUGCUGGAAGAUUCUAGACUAUCUCGAACGAGUGUUUUUGCAAUAGACAAACAUGAAAAUAUAAAAUAGAAACAAUGAAAUAUGCUAUAUAUAUAUAUCUAAAUAUUAUAAUAUUAUGUAUAUCUUCCACACAGUAUAUGCUUUACACCUUUUUUUUCCAUCUAUUGAUAUUAUUAAGGAAACU
rnacentral:lncRNA from 1 species